CCUCCACUUAUUCCUUCUCCUCACGCCGCCGUCGUCCGGCCAAAACGGACUGGCGCACCACCACCAAAUUCUUCCCUUUCUCUUCCUCUACAAGACUCAUGCCUUGCAUGUGGAAUUGAUGACGUAUUUCCUCCAAAUAAAAAACGAAGCAGUGGAGCUAUCUUGGGAUUCCGGCGAGUUGUUGAUCUCCGUUGAGCUCUUACAUCAUCUAUUGGUAAGUCUAGCCCCUAAUCUUUAUUCCCAAUCCAUUUGUACCUUUGGUUUCAUGAUUUGAAGCUUGACACAAUUUCUCAUUUUUCUGGGUUCGUCAUUGCCGCACUACCACCGUAAAUCCCCUUCCUUCUCGGCGUAACCAAGGCUUUACGAUAGGCAUAUCAACCUUAUCUCACGACUUUCAUGGUUUAUGACGAUGAUUGGGAAGUUUGGAUGAGUUCUGGAGCUGCAGAAACAUGUGAAAGAGGUGCAACAGCCUCGGCUCUACAUUUUCAACUUAUGGAGAGUUGAUACAAUGAGAUCGUACAAAGCUGGAGCAGCAAUAACAACAUUACUUUGGGAUUGGAUGAGCAACGUGGAUUCUGCACUUCAAUCCAGG